rnacentral:rRNA from 1 species
CUACGGGCUGCAGCAGUGAGGAAUAUUGGUCAAUGGGCGCGAGCCUGAACCAGCCAUCCCGCGUGCAGGAUGACGGCCCUAUGGGUUGUAAACUGCUUUUCUAUGCCAAGAAACCUGAUUACGUGUAAUCAGUUGCCGGUAGCAUAGGAAUAAGCAUCGGCUAACUGCGUGCCAGCAGCCGCGGUAAUACGGAGGAUGCAAGCGUUAUCCGGAUUCAUUGGGUUUAAAGGGUGCGCAGGUGGGCUUGUAAGUCAGUGGUGAAAUGCUGCCGCUUAACGGUAGAACUGCCAUUGAUACUGCGAGUCUUGAGUAUGGUUGAGGUAGGCGGAAUGUGUUGUGUAGCGGUGAAAUGCAUAGAUAUGACACAGAACGCCAAUUGCGAAGGCAGCUUACUAAGCCAUUACUGACGCUGAGGCACGAAAGCGUGGGGAGCGAACAGGAUUAGAUACCCGCGUAGUC